rnacentral:rRNA from 1 species
GAUGAACGCUGGCGGCGUGCCUAAUACAUGCCAGUCGAGCGAACGGACGAGAAGCUUGCUUCUCUGAUGUUAGCGGCGGACGGGUGAGUAACACGUGGAUAACCUACCUAUAAGACUGGGAUAACUUCGGGAAACCGGAGCUAAUACCGGAUAAUAUUUUGAACCGCAUGGUUCAAAAGUGAAAGACGGUCUUGCUGUCACUUAUAGAUGGAUCCGCGCUGCAUUAGCUAGUUGGUAAGGUAACGGCUUACCAAGGCAACGAUGCAUAGCCGACCUGAGAGGGUGAUCGGCCACACUGGAACUGAGACACGGUCCAGACUCCUACGGGAGGCAGCAGUAGGGAAUCUUCCGCAAUGGGCGAAAGCCUGACGGAGCAGCGCCGCGUGAGUGAUGAAGGUCUUCGGAUCGUAAAACUCUGUUAUUAGGGAAGAACAUAUGUGUAAGUAUCUGUGCACAUCUUGACGGUACCUAAUCAGAAAGCCACGGCUAACUACGUG